AGCAGCGUGGCUUAGUGGGAAAGAGCACAGGUUUGGGAGUCUGAAGUUGUGGGUUCUAGUCCCAACACUGCCA
rnacentral:tRNA from 1 species